rnacentral:rRNA from 1 species
UGCCAGCCGCCGCGGUAAUACGGAGGGUGCAAGCGUUAAUCGGAAUUACUGGGCGUAAAGCGCGCGUAGGCGGUUUAGUAAGUCGGAUGUGAAAGCCCCGGGCUCAACCUGGGAAUUGCAUUCGAUACUGCUGGACUAGAGUAUGGAAGAGGGAAGUGGAAUUCCGGGUGUAGCGGUGAAAUGCGUAGAUAUCCGGAGGAACACCAGUGGCGAAGGCGGCUUCCUGGUCCAAUACUGACGCUGAGGCGCGAAAGCGUGGGUAGCAAACAGGAUUAGAUA